rnacentral:rRNA from 1 species
UGGGACAACUACGGGAAACCGGAGCUAAUACCGGAUAAGAUAUCGAACCGCAUGGUUCGAUAGUGAAAGAAUGGUUUUGCUAUCACUUAUAGAUGGACCCGCGCCGUAUUAGCUAGUUGGUGAGGUAACGGCUCACCAAGGCAACGAUACGUAGCCGACCUGAGAGGGUGAUCGGCCACACUGGAACUGAGACACGGUCCAGACUCCUACGGGAGGCAGCAGGU